CUAGCCCUUAGAGAUAUUAUAGGUGUGGUUACUGCAUUACAUGUGAGUCAAUAGGUGGCAAAGUGGGAGAGACUAUACCUAUGCUUAGUGUUCUAAUCUGUGAACAUCUGAAUAAUUAGUAGCCUACCUUG